CUAGAACGUCUACAUGGAUGCCUGACGCUAGCUGGUAGAUUUCCGGAAACUUCCAGAAGCUUGUGUGGUCGAUUCUUCAUCUAAAUAGGUUGCAAUUGUGAGGUUCAUCCUUGUAACCGAGACAUCAGCAGCCCAGCAACAGCCCAGUGGCAGCAUACCCACCACCAGCAGCAACAGCUCAGCGGCAGCAGCAUCACCAGCAGCAUCACGAGCCCAGCAGCAGCAUCACUAGCGGCAGCAGCAUCACCAGCAGCAUCACGAGCCCAGCAGCAGCAUCACUAGCGGCAGCAGCAUCACCAGCAGCAUCACGAGCCCAGCAGCAGCAUCACUAGCGGCAGCAGCAUCACCAGCAGCAGCAGCAGUAAUAUAGGCACCAUAGGAGUAGAAGAUUUGCCUCGUGGAGGACUAAUCAGUAAACCUUCCAGCAAGUCUAACAGUAAUAGGCUCAACUCAGAGGAAGUGGAGUCUCUCCUAUUGCACAAAAAUUAUGUCUGCCACUGGUGAAGAGGAUGGGAACAUACUUCAUCCACCUGAAAUUCAUGAAAUUCAAGAAAUUGAAGGACCACAAGCAAUUGAAACUCUCCUGAACUAUUGUCAGAUUAUAUUUAAAACUGUUCAACGAAUGGAAAAAA
rnacentral:lncRNA from 1 species